rnacentral:rRNA from 1 species
ACCAGGGCUUCGGCUCUGGGGAAAGCGGCGAACGGGUGAGUAACACGUGAGUAACCUGUCCUCGGCACCGGGAUAGCCCGGGGAAACCCGGAUUAAUACCGGAUGGCCUUUCGAGCUCUCGGGCUCGUCAGAAAAGGUAGCUUCGGCCUCCGGCCGAGGAGGGACUCGCGGCGGAUUAGCUUGUUGGUGAGGUAACGGCUCACCAAGGCGACGAUCCGUAGCUGGUCUGAGAGGACGAUCAGCCACACUGGGACUGAGACACGGCCCAGACUCCUACGGGAGGCAGCAGUGGGGAAUCUUGCGCAAUGGGCGAAAGCCUGACGCAGCGACGCCGCGUGCGGGAAGAAGGCCUUCGGG